AAAAUAAGUUUCUCUAAGUAUAAUGAAAACUAUGCAAGUAGAAUCUUACGUAAUUUCUAGUAACAGUGUCAUAAUACGUGAAGUCUUGCUUGAGAAUGCUCUAGAUACCUGGUUGUGGAAGAUAAAAUAGAAAUUGUAAUAAAAAAAUCCUAACUCUAAUGGAACACUAACUAAAUUCUAAUUAGACCAUAACAAUGCUAAGCAAGCUUUAAUCAAAUUCAAAGAAACCUCAAAGAAAUUACAAAAAAAUAAUAAGAAAUCUUAAAAAAAUAUUAAAAUGAUCACAAAUAUACCUCAAGUAUAUCUAAAUUUAAUCUUAAUUUAAUUCUAGUUAAAAUCCUAUUUGACUUCAUUCAAACUUUAGGCCAAAAAUUAAUUAAAUCUUAAAUCCUAAAUCCUAAAUCAAAUCCUAACUAAAUCCUAAAAUUUAAAUCAAUUCCUAAUCAAGACCUAAUUUUAAAUCAAACCCUAUCUAAAUCCUAAAUUCUAAAUCAAAUCCUAAAUCCUAAACCAAAUCCUAACCAAAUGUUAAAUCUUAAAGCAAAUCCUAAUCGAAUCGUAAAUCCUAAAUAAAAUCCUAAUUGAAUCCUAAUCCUAAAUAAAAUCCUAAUUAAAUUCUAAUCCUAAAUCAAAUCUUAAUCAAAUCCUAAUCCUAAAUCAAAUCCUAACCAAAUCCUACUAAUUCCUACAAUAGAUUUAAACCUCAAUAACUAAUGAAUGAACUAUUGAUCUUAAUUCAAAUUUUGCACAAUUUUUUAAAAUUAAGUUUAAAACAAGCAAAUUUUUUUUUGAAAAUGAUCAAAAUUAUCUAAUAGACGAUAAACUCAAAAAUGUGCUCAGGUAUUGAUUGGCUUCUUUUUCAGGCCUCGAUGCCAAUUUUCUAGAGAAUAUCUCUCUUUUUUACCAUUCAAUUGAUCUUAAAAUUUUCAUAUAUAUAGAAUAAUAAGUAUACUAUCUUUAUCCAUAAAUUUCACUCCAAUCCAACUAGUAGAUUGCAAGAAAUCUUAAAAAUCCUUACUAGAUCUAAAUUUCUAUUUUUUGAGACCUUGAUCUAUUUAAACCUCAAUAAUCCUCAAUUCCACUGUUAGAUCAAGCUAAAAUUCAAAAUUCAUAUUAAACACAACUAUAACCAUUAAUCCACAAAAUUUCACUUAUAGAUCUAUUACAAAACUCUUGAAAUUGCUCAAAAUGUCAAUCUUAUUUUAUUUCACAAAAUCACAAUCAUCUCAAAACAAACUUAACUUUAUAAAGCUUUUACAAAGUUAUUAAAAAUUCAAAUCACACAAAAAUAAUGCUCAUAGAAAACUUAUCUAGUGUGCUGUCAAAUCCCAUUCUUCAAUCUCCAAAAGAACCCUAGAGUUGCCAUAGGUGCUCAGUUUUGUGUCUUGGGGUCUGAUUUCGAUCUAGGUUGAUAACUGGCCUUCCUUAGGUAUCAAAAUUUGUCUUUUUGAGUUAAUUUUUGUUAAAAUCAGCUCCUAACUUCUUCCUAUAUAUGCUCAUAUUCUUUAUUUUCCUAAUCUAUUUUAUUUUGCCUUAUUUAUGGUCCAACAAAGUAAGUAGAAGGCUAUUUUAUAAAAGGCAAUAUUGGUACUUUUUAGUUUUAUUAUCCUUUUGACUAUUAACUAUAUUUCUAAGAUAAUUUGCUCUAAUACUUUGAACUAAGAUCUCUUAUAUUAUAAUAAUUUCUACACUCUUUUACCUAUUAGUCAUAUUACAUCAUGACAACGAUCAUGUUUUCUUCUCAAAUCCUUCACCUAUUUUACAAUAGAAGUUUUUACAAUAGAAGUUUUUUUAGAACCAAAAAAUCACAAACUCUUAUCUUAGUUAAAUUUAAGAGCCUUAGCUUGUUUUAUAGACAAAUAUUUUGUCAAAAAAUAAGAGAUAUCUUUAAUCAAGAAAACUAAACUUGUACAUGUAUCCUCAACAUAUGAUGACCGCUCCUCGUGGAACUCGUCUCUAGAAGGGGGGGUAAUGUCACGGCCAUAAUCAUGUAAGCUAAUAAUUACAUAUAGAAAUAGGUAGAAGUAAGUAAAAGUAGAUAAAAGUAAGUUAAUUGUAUAAUAUUUAAUAUAGAAGCUUCCUAGAAACUUUCUAGACGCUACUUUGACUUCAUAGGUGUCUUUAAUUGACUUUUUGGAUUAGAAACGUGGUCAACAAGUUGGCCAUGUGCCACACAUGUUGUUAGCUUGAAGAUCAAGCUAACUAUGUGGCCCACACGUAGGAAAACUUGCCUUGUAAGUCAAGGCAUGUGUCCUACAAAGUCAACACAUAUUGGAGGUCCUAUAGAACGUCGCCACGUAGCCCCUAGUUAGAUAGUAUAUAUAGAGACAAGAGUGAAGGCUUCUUCACUCUUGUCAACUCCUUUCUUGCUUCUAGUCCAGGUUCAAGAGUCUUUAGUUUCUUGUCUUGUGGCAAUAGCCAUUCCAGUUGCCUUUUAAUAUACCUACUUGUUUAUAUUUUGACUUAUUAUAUCGAGAUAGCCUUUUGGUGUAUAUUUUUCCUCAUCGAGUCUUUGUCCUUGACAGAUUGUUCCUUUAGAUGUAGUAGUUAAAGUUCAUAAAAGCAUUGUAAUAUUUAAUGUAAUAAGAUCUCUAUUCAAUUUGAUUAUUUUAGGAUUAUCUUACUUAAAAAAGUAUAAUCCUUAAAUAAAUUAAAUUUUUUCUAAUCUUAAUUUUUUUGAUAGUUUAAUCUAAAAUCCCAUUAAUCAAGUAGAAAUACAUAAUUUUAAUACAUCCAAACCUUUACUGAUAGGUAGAAAAGCUUUAUGCAUGCUGCAAAAGAAGGGUUAUCUUUUAUUUUAUAUGCCAUGUCCAUUUCUAAUAGUGAAAAGAUAUUAUGUAGUAUUCCUAACUAAUAUUAAGAUUUUUAAGAUGUUUUGGAAAAAAUAACUUAGAUAUUCUUUUUAAGCUUUGUUCUUAUGAUUGUUCUAUUAAUCUUUACAAAUGAGCUCAAGUACCAUUUGGACCAAUCUAUAAUCUAUCACAAAAUGAGUUGGUUGUACUCAAGGAGUACAUUGAUGAAAACUUAGCUAAGAAUUUCAUUCGUCAUUCUAAAUCUCUAGCCAAGGCUUCUAUCUUAUUUCUUAAGAAAAAAGAUAGAUCUCUAUCAAUGUGUAUGGACUAUUGAAGAUUCAAUAAAAUUACCAUUAAAAAUAGAUAUCUUCUAUCUUUGAUUUCAAGACUUCUUGAUCAAUUAAAUGAAGCAAAGACUUAUACAAAAAUAUAUCUAUGAAGAACAUAUAAUCUAACGCGCAUUUAAAAAGGAGAUGAAUAAAAAACUAUGUUUCAAAUUAGAUAUGGGUAUUUUGAAUAUAAUAUUUUGCCUUUUGGACUCAUGAAUGUACUAGUUGUUUUUCAACAUCUAAUGAAUGAUGUCUUUUAUGAGUUUGUUAAUGAUUUUUUUGUUUAUUAUUUAGACAACAUCUUAUACAAUUAUAAGAAUAUAAAUAAGUAUGAAGUUCAUGUUUGUCAUAUAUUAUUAGAACUAAGAGAUGUAAGAUUAUCUACAAACUUAGAAAAGUGUGUAUUCCACAUUACUCAAGUUGACUUCUUAGAAUACAUGAUUUUCAAUAAAAGACUAAUGAUGGAUUUGGAGAAGGUCCAAAAUAUCAUGAAUUAGAAGAUUUGAAGAAUAGUAAGAGAUGUACAAUGCUUUUUGGGCUUUGCUAAUUACUAUCAAAACUUCAUCAAGAAUUUUUUUCAAGUUGUAGUGCCACUUAUAUAUUUGACUUGUAAAGGCAAACUUGAGUAGAAUACAGAAGCCAAAAUAUUGUUUGAUGUUUUAAAAAGGAGUUUAUUUCUACACCAAUUUUCUAUUGUGUUGAUUUUUCAAAAGAAAUUUUCAUGGAAAGAGAUGUAUCAAACUUUGCAUUGGGUGCAAUAUUAUCACAAAUGAGAGCAAAUGACAAAUUCUAUCUGGUAGCUUUUGAAUCCAAAUUUUUUUUAAGCAAUUAAGAUUAAUUAUGAAAUACACAAUAAGAGCUCCUUACAAUCAUGGAUUUAUUUCAAAAAUAGCGUCAUUAUUUAAAAGGGGCCUUAAAUCUAGUCACUGUAUAUAUGAUGUCGUAAUAUAUAAAGUCUUGCUUGAGAAUGCUCUGUGCACCUAGCUGUGGAAGUUAGAAUGAAAAUUACAACAACAAAAUCCUAACUAUAAUAGAAUACUAACUAAACUCUAAUUAUACCAUAAUAAUAUUAAGUAAGCUUUAAUCAAAUUCAAAGAAAUCUCAAAGAAAUUUCAAAGAAAUAAUAAGAAAUCUUAAAAAAAUAUUAGAAUGAUCACAAAUAUAUCUCAAAUACAUCUCAAUUUAAUCUUAAUUUAAUCCUAGUUAAAAUCCUAUUCGACUUCAUUCAAACUUUAGGCCAAAAUUAAGUAAAUUUUAAACCCUAAAAAAAUCCUAAUAAAAUCCUAAAACAUAAAUCAAAUCAUAAAUUCUAAACCAAAUCCUAAACCCUAAAUCAAACCCUAAUCAAAUCUUAAACCCUAAACC
rnacentral:lncRNA from 1 species